rnacentral:tRNA from 2 species
UUUAUAUACACGGGUUAGAGCCUGGUUGGUUAGGCGCCUCAUUUGGGUUGAGGAUUUUUUAUGUUCGAAUCAUAAUAACCCGA